GGUGAUAAGGUUACUAUAGUAACCCUAGCCCAUAAUAGUUAGUGGGUUUUUGCUUUAAAAGUCUGAUGCUUGCUUGCAAUAAACGUCGCCUUGAUCAGACUCUUGUGUUGGCGUCCUUCCUUUCUCUCUGCCCCAUCUCCACCCCGCUGCUCUUUCAGGUUUGAGACACUGCUGGACAGUGCUCUGCGUCGCCGGCUCUCGACAGAAGAGGACGACCACCCCCCAUAGAAGAGGAUCCUUUCCUCGCCCAGGGGUAUACAAGUAGCUGUGCUCUCCUGCUACAGCCUCCCAACGGCUCUCAGGAUCUGACUACAGUCCUGCCAUUCAUGAACAUCAUGCGCCUUGUGAUCUUGCUUUCAUGUGUGUUCUUCUACCUGAGUUCUGCCGUCAACCCUGUCAUCUAUAACCUGCUGUCUCGCCGCUUCCAGGCGGCUUUCCGGAACGUGAUCUCUCUUCCCUGCCAAAGCUGCUGCCCCCAGGGUCACUCACGAGGGCCCCCCGCCCAGCGGAACAUCAUCCUCACCGAAUGCCACCUGGAGGAGCUCAGUGAAGAGCCAGGUCCCCAGUUCCCCGGCCAGUCGUCCGUCUGCAGUGCGCCCCUGUCCACUGCCCUCUGCACCGAGCAGGCCCCGCGGAAGAGGCCGUCCCGUUGGCAAGGACCGAAUUCCUCGCUGCCUCCUGCCUGCUCUCUAGUUCCUAAAGACGACGAGCCUGGCGAAGCACAGGGCCCCUCUGGAGGGCAGUUUCCCCUCUGAGGAGACUGGGCCCGGGUCAUCCACAGGCUGAGUCAGGCUAUCAGUCGGACAACCAGAGGCCACGGGCAGUCACAGGAGGAAGAGGCGUCGGUGCCGGUCUGCUCUUCGUGAUUGGAGAAGUCCACGUCAGGGCUCCUUGGCAGCAAUCUGUUUGCCCUACUGGCCCAUCCUUACAACGCGACACGACUUCUUACGGUGUCCUGAGCCUUUUACCUUAAAAGCCCCCCUGACAGCUUGGGGGAUUAUUACCCCCCACUCCUCCAGUCUCCAAUGGCAUCAGCAGUGGCUCCUCACCGGGAAUGGGAUCAGACAGAAUUUCAACUUAGAGAAGAAUAGGAACGAAGGAAGAGAGAAUGCCAAGGUGGCAGGCUGAAAGAGACACAAACUACACCAAGCAAAAACCUAGCCAUUUUCAUAACUGGGUCCAGACAUGGACUUACAAUAUCUAACUUAUAAAUUACAUCACUGCAUAUGAAUCUCUAGUCAGUGAAGAUUAAGUGGAAAAGACUCAGCAGAACAAAUCCCCAGAACUGGGGGAAAUAUCAAUCUCUUUCACGCCUUUACAGGGGAAACAUUUUGAGAAAGAACCUAGUAGAGUCAUUAUCCUUAAGGUCAAUCCCCAGUGACCAGGAAUAAAAGUGCCCCCACUGUUAGGGGAUGGAUACAAAAAGAUCCAACACUCAAGGUGCAACUAGUAAUUGUGUUGCUCGACUAAUAUUUUAGUUGCAUUUUUGGUUGCUCCUCACUUAUUUUUUUCUCUCAAAAUUUGUUAUUCACUCAUUAAUUCCACCAAUCAACAAAUCUCCAGUGAUGAGUAGGUUCUAUGCAUCGUGCCAGGACAAAAAUUUCCUUGCCUUGCAAGUUUACAUGGAGCAAAAAGUAAAACUGUCUUUGAAAAAAAAAAUCACUGGGCCGGGGAUUUAGCUCAGUGGUUCGGUGGCCUGCCUUGCAAGCACAAGGACCCAAGUUCAAUCCCCGGUACAAAAAAAAAAAAAAAAAAAAACNNNNNNNNNNNNNNNNNNNNNNNNNNNNNNNNNNNNNNNNNNAAAAAAAAAAAAAAAAAAAAAUCACUAUAUUAAAAUCACUUAAAUCUAAUCGUCAAGUGUGCUAUAAGAUAUAAACAUUAGUACUGUGAGAUUGCACACAAAGAGGUCUGCCCUAGUCGGAAAUUUCAAAAGUUCUGUUAAGCCUGGUCAGAACCUAAUUUGACCUACUCUGGAAGCAUUAAGGUAAAAAAGAAAACCAGGGUUGAUUGUGUCUUAGUUCAUUUAAAUACAUACAUCACACACACAUAUAAAUAUAGGACAUAUUUCAAAAUUAAAAUUGAAAUGUUAUAUAAUAGUUCUCACAAAUUGGAACAAAGUAAAGUAAGAAAACUAAAUUGUAUAAUGCCAUUAAUUGCUGACCUCCUGAUUUUUCUUGGAUUUCUUAUGACCUCUUAAUUUUAGGCCACAGAAUGACAAAAGGGCCACGGAGUAAACAUGAUUAAUAAAACAUCGGCAAUUUAACACUUAUAAGACAGUGACUUUUGAGCUCUUCAGUUAUUCACAAAGUUAGGGAACUGAAAUAAUGACAUUGAGAAUGUUGCCUGGCACAUUAGUUGUCCCAACUUAAAUAAUCAAUAUAAUUCCUAAUCUGAGACCAAUGAAAUUGUACACAAAAUGAUCAGCGCCUCAAAGUUGUUUGUGACUCCAAUUAUUAAAACCAGCAUUGUAAAGUACCCUUACAUGUAAUACAAAAACUUAAUGGAUGUUUUGAUUGAAUAAAGGCAUGGAAAGAUCAUUUAAAAGUACCAUUUUUCCAGCCUACAGUUCUAGUAUGCAUAAGCACCAUUGGUGUGCUGGUGGCUGGCUUGAAAUGACCCACUGAAGCUUAUGAAAAUAUUUAGGAACUUUGCAAGCCUGUUGCCAAAGAAAUGGUGCUGGAAAUCAGUCACAGUGGAAAUAUUUAUACCAAAGAUCUUCACAAACACUCUAGAUCAUAUUUUUUUUCUCCUCCAGAUAACUGGCUUAUCAGCAGUCCAUUCACAAUUAAGAAGCUGGCAUUCUGCCAUCUUGCUGUGAUAUAUGUGAUUUGUUUUCAGAAUAAAUGUUCAGUAGCACUGUUAUAAUUAGACUGCUGAAAAUUGUGGGUCUCUCACCAGGGAGGAAAGAAACAGUCACUGAACCAGAUUUGUCACCCAAAGUCACCAGACGAAAUAGACUAAAGAACGAUAAUCAUGUCACAAAAGCCUCAUCUGCAUUUUAUAAUUAACCUAGAGUGGGAGCAUCACUCUUAGAUGUUGUCCACUAAUAUGAGCAUAGAAAACAGCACCAGUAGUACAUGCUAUCUUCCCUAUACAUCCCUUUUUAAAUAUCUCACAGGAUUUACUACAAAAAGAUACAAAUUUUCCACAUUCUUCUCUACUGGCUGGAGCCCUUUCUUCUAAACUUGUAGAAAUACAUUAUAAAAACAUUGUGAUGGAGUUUACUAUUACACUUGCUUAUGGAAGCCAGAGCCAAAGCAAACAUCAAACACCAUCCAGGUCAUCAUCUUGAGACCAUAAUUUUAAGGGAAAUAAAUCACACACGCAAGUUUCAAUAUCACAUCAUUGCUUUUGCGUGAGAAACCCAAAGGGCAAACAAGGAGCAAAAUGAAGAAUAUAUAUUGGGAACUGGGAAGAACUUGUUCACAUGACAAGAGAAACAAGGGAAAGGGGGAGCGUGCCUUAGUUAUUCUUGUCUUGUUGCUGAGACAAAAUACCCAUCACCUACUGUUAAAAGUGAAAAGGCGCUCAUGUAGCUCACAGUUUGUACAGGUUUCAGGCCAUCUCCAGCUGUAUCUAAGGCAGGGUGGGAUGGCAGACAGCAACUGCAGAGGAGAGGAGCAACAGUGCACGGCAGACAGAAGGUCGCAGAGCAAGCAAGAGACCUGACAAGGCUGGGUGUGGUGGCGCAUGCCUGUAAUCCCAGCCCUUGGGAGGCUGAGGCAGGAAGAUCACUGUGAGUUUGAGACCAGCCUGGGCUGCACAGUGAGUUCCAGGUCAGUGUUAACUACAUAGGGAGACCCUGUCUCAAAAAANNNNNNNNNNNNNNNNNNNNNNNNNNNNNNNNNNNNNNNNNNNNNNNNNNNNNNNNNNNNNNNNNNNNNNNNNNNNNNNNNNNNNNNNNNNNNNNNNNNNNNNNAAAAAAAAAAAAAAAAAAAAAAAGAGAGAGAGAGAGAUAUGACAAGCCUCUUUCUGCACCUUAUAUUGUAUCCAUGCUACCAGGAUUAGGGCAGUACCAAACCAACCAGCAGAAUGAUUUAGGAAUCGCCUGCCCUUAAUCAUACAUUAUGCCACAAAUCAACCACACACUCUAGAUUCAGCCACCUCUCCAAAAGCCCCACCUACGACUGCACGAAGCUUUGGUGAGGACAGCCAGACACAGCCAUAGGAAAGAAGGUAAGGAAGGGCAAAGGGAUUUUAAAAACAGAAAAUAAAGAAAAAGAAUGCAGGCAAAAGCUUUUGUAAAUGGGGAGAGUCAGAA
rnacentral:lncRNA from 1 species